rnacentral:tRNA from 1 species
AAAGAAUAAAUAAAUAGCUUCUAACUAUAUAAAUAUUAUUAUAAUAAUUCUUUU